AACGAACGCUGGCGGCAUGCCUAACACAUGCAAGUCGAACGAGACCUUCGGGUCUAGUGGCGCACGGGUGCGUAACGCGUGGGAACCUGCCCUUAGGUUCGGAAUAACUCCCCGAAAGGGGUGCUAAUACCGGAUAAUGUCUUCGGACCAAAGAUUUAUCGCCUUUGGAUGGGCCCGCGUUUGAUUAGCUAGUUGGUAGGGUAAAAGCCUACCAAGGCGACGAUCCAUAGCUGGUCUGAGAGGAUGGUCAGCCACACUGGGAAUGAGGCACGGCCCAGACUCCUACGGGAGGCAGCAGUGGGGAAUAUUGGACAAUGGGCGAAAGCCUGAUCCAGCAAUGCCGCGUGAGUGAUGAAGGCCUUAGGGUUGUAAAGCUCUUUUACCCGGGAUGAUAAUGACAGUACCGGGAGAAUAAGCUCCGGCUAACUCCGUG
rnacentral:rRNA from 1 species